rnacentral:rRNA from 1 species
UACAGAGGUGGCAAGCGUUGUUCGGAAUUACUGGGCGUAAAGGGCGAGUAGGCGGCCUUCUAAGUCAGACGUGAAAUCCCCCGGCUUAACCUGGGAACUGCGUCUGAUACUGGGAGGCUUGAGUAUGGGAGAGGGAUGUAGAAUUCCAGGUGUAGCGGUGAAAUGCGUAGAUAUUGGGAGGAACACCAGUGGCGAAGGCGGCUCACUGGACCGACACUGACACUGAGGAGCGAAAGCCAGGGGAGCAAACGGG